rnacentral:lncRNA from 1 species
GAUGGUCCUGGCUUUGGGAAGACCCAAAGAAACCCAGAGCACAGUCAGAGUGCCAGCACAGAUUGAAGGAGAGGUGUGAGGAGAAGUGCAGCGGCUGUAGGAGGGGGGAGAGGAGAGGGGGUGUGUCCUGUGAGUGCAUUGGGAGGGGCAAGAGAGAGGCUACUUGGCCCUUCCCCAGCACAGGUGGAGGAAGGAAAUAUGGAUAGCUGGGACAGAGUGGAGAUCAAUGCCAAUGGCUCCAAAUGCAGGGUGUGAUCACUACUGAAGCCAUGUCAGUUUGACAGAAGAAGGAGGACCACCCCGGGGCACCGCAGCAAGGUGUGGUUGGAAUAGCCUUCACCAGGGCUCCCAGGGCCACUCUCGCCAAUGGUUGACAGAGUAGCUCUGACUCACUGGGGAUGAUGGUGUUCCUCCCAGCCUAACAGAUCCCUAAGCUGGGCCUUUCUCCCUUUCUCUUUCCCCUCCUGGCCAUCCUGACUCGAUGGGAAGUCUGGGUCCAUGGCUGAAGAUCCCAACACUACAUUGUGAGCUGAGGAUGUCCCAGACAGUUGCCAAAGUAGAGUGGGCUGGGUCCCUUUCCCAGGCCCUAUGUUAGAAAUGAGCUUUAUUAAUUUAUUUUUGCUAUUACUUAUUAUGUGUCUAUGGGGCACACGUGACAUUGUACAUCUAUGGAGGUCGGAGAACACUUUGUGAGAGUCAGUUCUCAACUACCAGGUGAGUUCCAGGGAUUGGUGGCAGUCAGGCUUGGUAGCAAGCACUCUUACCUGCUGACCCAUCUCAGCAGCCCUCAAAGAUAUUUUCAGUGUGACUGUGCUGUCAUUAAAGGUUGCAUGUAGAAUCCAUGUGCUGUCAUUAAGAGUUGUGUAUAGAAUCCAUCACCUUUACUCUUUCUGAAAGAGUCAACUUCCCUGGAGGCCACCACUCAAAAUUUUUACUGUCCCAGACUCCAAUGGCUUCACUUGGUAUACACAUUUAAACAAUAUUAUGAAAGAUAUGGUGUCAUUAUAUUCUGCUUAUAAUUAAUAACACAUAACUAAUAUAAGGUAACACACAUGCCAAAAUUUAACUAUGUAUUAAUAUAUCACAAAAUACAUAAUAUGUAUAUUGAUAUAGUUGCAAUAAAAUAGUACAUAAUCC